GGGAUCUUAGGAUAGAGGUUGGGUCGUAGUUAAAAUGUUUUUUAAAACUAGAUUUUCUUCCUUUUAUUGUAGAAUACAUUUAAUUGAUUAUUGUAGAAACGUAGGAUAUAAGUAGUAGGAGCCUAAAUGCUGUAGAGUAUUGCAAGCUGAAUUGUAUAACGCCGUGAGCAACGCGUUCAUGCCAAGAUGGCGGAGUCAUCGCCCGGUUGACGAAAACUGCUGACAUCAAACUGCCCAAAUCGUGUAAAAUUGGAGGAGUUUUGAUUUAUUUUGCUUCAAUCAUCACCGACGCCGCCGUUGUCCCACACAAUGUUCAGCAUCACGCAGGCGUAUGAUUGCAGCUACUCUGUAGUAAUACGUAUUGGCUUAUAAUCAAGUCGAUAAUAAGGCGCGUUAAUAAUCGUCAGGACCAGGCAGCGCUAAAUCAAUUUUUUUGAAAACAAAGAUGAUCUAUUUAGGUCGAGUCGGAGCUUACCGGUCGGUUUAAUGGAAGGAGGAUUUUUAGUUAGGAGUCUGGGUAGGAAUUUUCCGUAUCCAGUAGAUUGAAGGCCGUAGAUCGUGAAUAAGUCGGCUAUCGGAACAGAGUAUUGCAGUAUGAUAGAUAAUAAAAUAUAAUAAACAAUUUGAACAAAGAAAUACACAAUUAUAAGUAUAAAUAAACAAGACACGAUAUUAGAAUAAGCUGAUUGUUCAUCUUUCCCACAAUACAUUACAAUGUAAUAGCUGUCGACCUUUGAACAAUAAAUAUAAUCCAUCAUGAGGUUAAUUUAUUUUGCCUUGUAUCCUGGUUCGGGAAAGUAAAAUGUGAGUUGAAGUCGAUAAGUUUUUCGAUUCUUUUCGAUGUCUGGUGUUAUGUACGAGGUCGAAAUUUGCGUGUACCCUGGAUUAAAUAGAUUAUUGUCAGUUUCAUUUAUGCCGAGGUAAAAUCUUGAUAUAUUUAUAAAUUGAAUACAAAUUAUUAUCAAAAAUAUUGCUUUUCUUUUUCACCCUUAUUUACCAUAGUUAAGGCGUCAAUAAGAUUCAUGUAUACACAUAUGUAUAGUAACAAGCAAAGUUUUAUAAUGUCUAUGGCCAAUCUGAUAAAGAAUAGAAAAAAAUAUAAUUAUUACCUUAUGUUUUAGAUGUUUCGUAGUUAGAAAUGACUAAUAAAAUGUAGUUGUUCAUAAAAUGUGACAAUUUCUUUUUGAUCACAGGAAUGGUGAUGUUUAUUGCAAAUGUCUGAAACUAGGACAGGUUUUAGUGAUUUUAAUACCAAGAGAUAAUUAUCAGAUACAUAACCUGCAUCACAAGAUGUAGAGAAACGUAACCUUAAAUUCUAGUAGGACUUCCACAUAAAGCAUUCAAGUUUGCUUUAAAUAAUUUAAUGUAAAUCCUAGAGGAAAGGAAAAACGUCACAUAGAUAAGAAAUCAAAGAAAAACAUAUAGAAAAAUAACAUCUUUAAUAUAAGAAAUAUAAUCACACAAAUAAUAAUAUUGCAUCCUAAGAUGGAGCAAAUUAAAAAAAAUCAAAACGAACUCAUGCUAUUAAUGAAAUGCUUCUUAAAUUUACACGAAAUGGGAAUGUUAAAUUUAUUAAGCAAGAAAUUAAAUGAAACGUCAGUUACUCAAAUGAUAUUAAGAUACUAUCAAAUGUAAAAAUGUAGAUAAAAUGCUCUUAAAUAGCGAAGACUGAAGAUUAUAUUUAUUCAUAUUUAAUAUUUAUCAUAAUCCCCUUCUACUAUAUUUUUUACAGGUUUUAUUUAAAAAUAUGUUUUAACUAAGAUUUAAAAUCGAUAAUUAACGGAAAUUAUUCGUAUAUAUAAGAAUUAUAAUAUGUUCUAAAUGUUAUAAACACUAUUAAAUUAUGGGGUGAUCAUUGCAAGCAUAUUUAAAAGCUAAUUUUUACUGAUUUACCACGGUUACGGAAACAAUUUAGAUUGGUGUCCAACAUAAUUGUUUAAAAUAAAUUGAAACGGUGUAUACAAUCACGGAAAUAAUGGAGGAUUUAUAUACAAACGUAUGUAUGCAAUAUUAAAAUUGUACAUAACAAUUCGUCACGAUAGACAGGACACAAACUGGUUUUAACACCUUUUUGGCCGUAUAUAUUAAACUCAAUAAACAAUGGGCCCAGAUUCAGAAAUAAUUUAAUCAAAUUUCUUUUUCCUUUUGAAUUAUAUACACUUAUAUUGGAUCAAAUCUGCACUUAUAACAUUUAUUAUAAUUGUUUUGUACAUAAAUGAUAGAUAAACUUUAAUUUAUAUGAUUAAUCGCUUGAGUUUAUGCUUUGUUGAAAAUUAUUUAGUCCAUACUAAGAAAUGUAAAUGAUAACGCAUUUUCAUGCUAAAAUAUCCAUGAAGAAUAGGUUUUUAAAUAGUUGCAUAGGACGUCGUUUUCUAUUUAUUUGUUGAUUUCUUUAGAUACGUCCUCGUUGUAUUAUGUUGUAAAUUAAGGUCGUAUGUUUCUUCUAUAUUAUUUUCAAGAGGAAAUAUUUGUACUUUUGUAUGUAUCGAAAUGACUCAAAUACUAAUGUACAGAUUUCAAAAAUUCUUUCACCAAUAAAUAGGUGUGUUAUCACCGAGUUACAUAGGCUUAAAUUACAAAUUUUUGUAUAUCUAUCCAUGUUAUUACAAUUAAAAACUUUUUUUUAGUUUGAAAUUCUUUCUCCUAGCAAAAUGUUAUAGCAAUCUUUCUUGUCAUCAGAAUUGCCUAAAUUCUAAAUUAUUGUGUUGAGAUAAAGUUAUUCAAAAUCGUCUACACUUAGAACUAUCAAGCUGCUUGUAUUGCUCGAUAUUUUUAUUUCUGUUUUAAUGAAGAGCGGAACGCUAAUUUUAACACGUUGCUAGAUCUUCUUUCCUAAUUUUUUUUAGUUCUGAAUAAACACUAACAAGAGUGUAUAACGUUUUCAAUAGUUUUGAUGUUGAUGUAAUCGGCAUAUUUCAUGUUGCUUUUGCAUAUGAAUCUAAAUUAUCCGUGUAUUAUUAUACUACAUACUUGUUUUUAUUUUAUAGUUUGCUUACUUAUUCCUUGAUUUUAUGUUAGUUCGUACAAUUUAAUAAAUCAAUCGAUUUCCUGAUCUACAUUAUGUUGAAUCUGUUUGUUAGUACUUAUUACAAUUUUGUAUAUCAAAAUCGUCUUGUUUCACAGUUUGUUUUCUAAUAGUUUCGUGGUUUGUGUGUUGCUAAUUGAAUCAAUACAGAAUUAAAUUUAAAACCGCUUAAUACUGCAAGUGGGUUAGGUGAAAUAUUAGCUACGUCUACAAAAGUAUCCUAUUUUUAGCUAGUCUUAAAUCGUGGUACUUAUGGGAAUAUAUUGAUGUCUCUUUCAUUUUCAUUGAAAAUUUAGAGAAAACAAUAUGUAACAGGCAAGGAUAGUGUACCGAUGUGGACUUAGCUAUUAAAAGCGUUUUAAGCACGUUUUGUAAGAUUUUAGGGUGAUGUUAUUUAGUGUGUGGUUUUAUAAAUUAUCAAUGUCCGUGCUAUUUGGGCCAUAUUCAAUUCGCAUUUGUAUGUAUUGGUGAUGGUUCCCAUAGUACUAUAAUUGUUUAUAACAUUGCUAAUUGUAUAUUAGCAAAGUUUCUAUAACCAAUUUUGUUGUAUUUACGUU